rnacentral:sRNA from 1 species
CAAAAAAUGAGUAAAAUGUUCUCAUGUCCAUAUUUUUAGGGGAAAAAAAAGCAAAUAAAAGUAAGUGUGGUACCUGGCACCUCUAAGACUAGGAAUGUCCGGUAACUGUCACUGAAGAGCACUCUAUGGCUGUGCAAGGAAGGGAAGGGAGCACCCUUUGACUUCAUAGAAGGGAGCACCUUGUGACUGCAUAGGACGGAGCACCCUAUGACUGUUUACAGAAGGGAGCACCCUGCAACAGCACAGAGUGGAGCACUACACUACGACAUGAGAAGGUGAUCGAGGACUCCUCCUUCACCCUCGGAAGGGUUCUGUUCUCUUCCUGUAGCAGGAUGACCCCUGUGUCUGAGUUCUUCUAGUCCUCCCCCUCUCCCGGUCCAAAACAGAUGCUGGUGACAGCUGGGGAAUGCACAGCAAUAAAGAGUUAUUGGACAAUGGUCAGAGCCAGCCAAAGUUUGACUAGGCUGCCUUUUGGUGGCAAGUUGCCUGUCACCAGAGGCAACCAAACAAGAGCCCAACACCUCUCAGCAGGGAGAACAGCAGGAUUCCACCCUAGUUUCCCCAGCACUUAGGAGCAAAGACAUACCUAUUAGACUUCUCCCUUCUUCUGGACCCUUCAAUUUAAAUGUGUCUGGCCCAUAGAUUAAGCCCUGGAUAUGGAAUAACCAUUUUUUAAUAAGGACAUGUGAUUCAGCACAAACUACUUCUCAUGAGGAUUUUUGCUCGGAUAAAUCAGUCUUCCCUUCCCUCAGUGUUCAUGGGUUCUACUCUAACCAAGCCAUGGUUCAAGAGCCUUGAAUUUAGUACAGAUUUUGAGGAAAUGUCACAUCUCUGGUGGCACUUUGAAGGAUAACUUCUGGAGCUCAAGAUUCUCAGCUCCCCCAACUUCUAGAGCCUAAAUCAUUGGCCUCAGAGGCUUCCAGAAGAUUUGAAUUUUAGACAACCCAGAGGUCCUAAGAUCAAACGCAAAUGAGGUCUUAAGACCUGAAAGAGGUGUCAGAGGAUAGCUAACAACUUUAGGAUUUCCCAUAAGUCCCCUGGAAGUGACAGCUCUCAAUCAGGGAGCUCAGGAAAGAAAAGACAGAAAAGGGAACAAGUUCAGAGGCUCCUGGGCCUUAGGAUCUCCCCGUUAUCCUCAGGGUGCCCCCACCAUGGCCCUGGGUGGGAGGAUAGUCCUGGCACCUCAGGCCCUGUGCAUUGCUUUGUCCCGUCAGUACCCCCUCCAUGCUCAUGAUGGCCUGCACUUCUGCCUCCUCAGCUGCUUCAUGGCGUUGGCCGACCUUGUACCUAGAUCACUGCCCAGUCCCUUUUUCUUCCCUUCUGUUGUGAACACGGGAUGGGACUUGAGGAGGUCAGAGCUCGGGCAAAGAGGGAGGGACAGAACCUGCUCAAAGCUGCAGGGAGUAAAUCAAGCUGCUCUCUUCCUUGGGCUGUCUGACUGGCCUUGCAACCCUUUCCAAUCAGGGAGUCUAAAGUUACCAUAUUGACAGCAUCUGCAGCCAAGCCCAGCUCUAAAGGAGAUGAAUAGCAGUGACUCAGGAGCCCAGUGGAGGAGGCUUCACUGAGACCCCAAAGCAGGACCUGUCGAGUCGAGUUUCUAUGUAUAUGUAAUGGUGGGUCUCCGCUGGGGUUUCUGCUUUGGAUUCAUUUAGUGAAGUGACCCUGUCUUGAAUGUCUCCUUCCUGAGUGGUCCUGGCCAGCCCAUGUAGUGUAGAGGACUCCAUCCAUGAUAAUGGGCUGGAAUGAUUUAGCUGUGGACCAUGAGACCAGGGAGGCUGAGGAGUGUUUUGUGUCAGAGUGUCACAGUAUGUUUUACUCCCGCCUGGCCUGUUCUCUCUCAGGGAGGAAGAAUACCCUGGAAAAGUACAUGAGACAGAUGACCUGUUUCUCAGAGAGCACCAGCUAGAAGGGACCUAUGCAUUCUAAGGAGGAAGCAGGUUAGAGGACCAGGCUGCUACCCCUCCCUCCAUGACUCACUACAGAUGGCUUCAGGGCUCUGUGGAGUGAGUACCUAGCUAACUCUCCCCACUUGAGCUAAAGCAUCUCCGUGGCGAUGUUUUUGUACCAUUUUCUCUGUAAGUUUUCACGCCCUUGCUAUGUCUACUUCAGGGACUACAGUAAUUGCGGACAUCAUUGUCUGAUGGUGAAUAGACAGGAUGUGGAAGGUAUCAGCAUGUGACAAGAUGGAAGAUGUCUCUAGAGAUGGACUGGAUGUGGCGCGGGUUUCUGAGGAAGGAAGCUAGCCUAAGGAGAGACCUAGAUCAGCACUAACAUGAGGACCAGCCUCAGCAUCUAAAACUCCUACUGGAACCUGGACCCAGAUAUGAGGAGACAUGAGGGCCAUUCAUUCACCCAUCUAGUCCAUGAGUGCUGUUCUUGGUAGACGGUAGCAAGAGACAGGAGCUGAUGGUGUGGCCCUUACAAAGGGAGAACAUUCAGCACUCACCCACAUCUGGGAAUGGUGCCUCCUGUCCAGAUAUAUAGCCAAGACACCAAGGGCAAGGACAUUCUGGUUCCGUUCUGAGACAAUGACUGGCACACAGUAGGGCCCUGAAACAGGCCAGCUGACUGUCAGGGGCAUGAGGCAAAAGGGAAGCGACUGCUGCUUGCUACUACCACAUCCAGUGGCCAAGCUGUUUGGAUGGAAAGAGGAAUCAUGAAGCCUCCACCAACAAGUGGGCAGCCAGAGGCACACACGUCUUGCUCAAGAAAAACAACUUUGUCAUCAUGUCUUGCCCUUGAAAAUACCCCUGUACAGCCAGAGAACCAAGAGCCAGGCACAUGCCCAUGGGAUCUGAUGGUCUAUGGUCUGUUCUUAUCAUCCUGAGCAGAAAGUCAUCAGGUGAGAGCCAGUCUUAAGACUUGGCUUACCCAUUCAAAUGAUCUGUGCAGAACCAAUUCUGUUUUCAUCCUAACAACAAGGUAUUUAUUUCUUUUCAAGGAUCUUAAGUGAAGCCUAGCUUCUCAGUUGUUCCCACAACCCGUUACUGGAAUUCCCUAAUUUCUAUUCCCCGAGACAAGAAUAAUUGAAUACAGGGCUUUGUUGGUCUUUGGCAAACACACUUAGAAUCACUGCUGCCUUUGGCAGGAUAAGGGCAAGGUAGACAGGUAACCAACCGUAAGAAAUUCCAAUAAAAGUUCUGAUUAAAGGUAA